rnacentral:rRNA from 1 species
GACGAACGCUGGCGGCGUGGAUUAGGCAUGCAAGUCGAACGGUAUCAUCCUUUCGGGGGUGAGAGAGUGGCGAACUGGUGAGUAACACGUAGGUUAUCUACCCUCAAGACGGGGACAACCCAGGGAAACUUGGGCUAAUACCGGAUGUGAGCAACUUUUAGUUGUUUGAAAGGUGGCGUAAGCUGUCGCUUGGGGAUGAGCCUGCGUCCUAUUAGUUAGUUGGUGAGGUAACGGCUCACCUAGGCAAUGAUAGGUAGGCGGCCUUAACGGGUGGUCGCCCACACUGGGAUUGAGAUACGGCCCAGACUCCUACGGGAGGCAGCAGUCGAGAAUAGUCUACAAUGGUCGGAAGACUGAUAGUGCGACGCCGCGUGAACGAUGAAUCCCUUCGGGGUGUAAAGUUCUUUUAUAUGUGAGCAGUGCUUCUUAUAUUAACAGUAUGGGGAGAGAGAUAUUAGCAUAUGAAUAAGCAACGGACUAACUCCGUGCCAGCAGCCGCGGU